rnacentral:rRNA from 1 species
GGUCCCUAUCUGCCGUGGGUGUAGGAGAAUUGAGAGGAUCUGUCCCUAGUACGAGAGGACCGGGAUGGACGUACCUCUGGUGGACCUGUUGUGGCGCCAGCCGCAUUGCAGGGUAGCUAUGUACGGAAGGGAUAACCGCUGAAAGCAUCUAAGCGGGAAACCCACCUCAAAACCAGUUCUCCCUGAAGAGCCGUGGAAGACCACCACGUCGAUAGGAAGCGUGUGGAAGUGCGGCAACGCAUGAAGCUUAGCUUUACUAAUAGCUCGUUCGGCUUGAUCCUCUCAUU